rnacentral:rRNA from 1 species
UACGGAGGGUGCAAGCGUUAUCCGGAUUCACUGGGUUUAAAGGGUGCGUAGGUGGGCAGGUAAGUCAGUGGUGAAAUCUCCGGGCUUAACUCGGAAACUGCCAUUGAUACUAUCUGUCUUGAAUAUCGUGGAGGUAAGCGGAAUAUGUCAUGUAGCGGUGAAAUGCUUAGAUAUGACAUAGAACACCAAUUGCGAAGGCAGCUUACUACCCGAAUAUUGACACUGAGGCACGAAAGCGUGGGGAUCAAACAGG